GGCAUUUCCACGGAGACUCUGCGGAUUAGUGGGAACACAGUGAUUCGAGAUGCAGUUAAGCCCAAGAUAAGGUACAUGUAUAUAAGGAUUUUGUAAAAUCCGGGACAUUUGACAGAUUUCCGGGACUGCGGGACACGUUCUUCAUUUCCGGGACAAUCACGGACAAUCCGUGACGUAUGGUAUGUAUGGCUUCCACCUACAACUUUGAAACCUCAUAUGUAGAUGCACCUUGAUGAGCUCUACAUGUUACAAUCAUUUUGGGGUCACUAGGUCAAAGAUCAAGGUCACUGUGACCUCUAAAAUAAAUAAUAAAAAAAUCUGACAAGCUUUCAUUUAUUCAAAACUGCACCCGUAGCCGAGCAUGGCACACGUUAUGGGGUGCUCUUGUUACAUAUUAUUAUUAAUGAGAAUGAUUGUAUCUAUUGGAAUAUUUCCAGAGAUGUAACUGACCUAUGCAAUUUGGUCCAUCAGGUCAGUCCAGACACCGAGGCUGUCUUUUUAGAAGUGCUUCUUCGGUGUGAAGAUUAUAGAAAAGGUUUUUGGAUACCAGAAGGACGUCUUCCUGCCAUACAGAAAAGGAUUAAAGGAGCCAACUCACUUCUACAGGACUACUGUCCUAAGGUGGUGGUUGUCUGCGAGGAAAGAAAACGUCAACGAACACCAAUUUUAGGCCAGAAGGAGAACUUGCCCGGACAGUUGCAGUGGAAGUGAAGGCUUCAAAUAUCUGUGGAACAUACCUGAAGAAGAGGAAAGAAGUUGCACGAUCCUGCAGACAAAAGAACCCACUUGCAUGUUGUCCUUUGUUGAUGAAGCUGUAAAAGGAGGCACACAUUGGGUGUCCAGAAUGCAGGGUUGUUUGCUCCAACGAAGAUGCUUUGCUCAGCAACUUCUGCAUUCGCCACAUCUAGAACAUUCGAACAUUUCCCACCCACCAUGUGGAUGAAGAUGUUUGGACUGAUGAUUCUGGGGCAUAUGUGUGGACAAUGUGGUCUUCAUUACAGCAUGAUGCAGCUGCGUAUUCAACAAUAUGUCAACCUGCCCUAGCGGAUGUUGAUGCUCUCAAAUGAUGUUGAGAAAAACCCAGGACCGUUUGUGGAGAACUACUUGGCAGGGAAGUCCCUGCAAUUUUCUUGGACAAGGAAUGAUGUGGAGGAAAAGAGAAAUCAGAUUGCACAGUCAUCGACUGCUUUCAGCCGCGAAGAGGCUGUCUGGUUCCAGGAUUGAACCCAUUGCAGAUUUCAGGAGAAUGCAUCAGAUGUUCAACAACUGCAAGAAGGUGGUGGUAAACCUUGCAGAGAAGAGCUGAAAAAUAUGACAACCAGCACUCCCACAACAACCAUCAUGCCAACCACCGUUUCACAGACUGACAUCUUCACAGAAGAAGAGGCCACGCUCCCUAUUCAGCAGCAACUGCUCCCUCAGCAAGGCUCGGUGGUGAAAGGAGCCGGGUAGGUCCACAGGGUCAUACCCACCCAAGAGACCCUAAGUGUUGAGUCUGUGAGUGACCCCUCUAUGGGCCAGUCAGAUUCUGGCUUCAUCGAGCCCCAACAGUCAAACUCCCGAGAGACAACCGUAACCUCCAUCCAGCAAUCCGCUAAGAGGAUGAGAGAUGAGAGUCCUGGUGAUGAUGCCGGUGUGAAGAGGUCAAAAGUAGCAGUUGCUGAGCAUCCCCUGCAAGGGUCCCAGACAUCACGAUAACGGACAAGUCCAGUCAGCCAGAUCACAGGGAGAUCCAGUGGGCAGAGGUCGCACACACCCAGCAGGUGGAAGUGGAACCGGAGGAGGAGGGGGAACCAGACAUAUUCCCAUCACAGGAAGCUCUGGACAUGGAAACAGCCACACAACAGAGACAUUUAUCAUUCUACUACCCACAGGCUACAUCGAAACAACCUAAAAUGGACUGUGUCUGUGUUUAUGACAAUGAAGUGGAAGGGAGCUUGUGGUGUUGCAAGGUAUGCAAACAGCAGCAACAUCAGUGUGUCCAAGCUGCAGGUCAUUUGACAGAACUUUGUCCUGUAUGCGACAAGGAGCUUCAGAAUGUGAUUGUACGUUUGCAAGACAUUGUCAAAUGUGACAAACAAGUAUGGUUCAAGGGGAGAUUCAAGACAGAAUUUCAAAUCAGCUUUUGAAACGAUACAAUAAUCCCAAAAUCUACAUCGAACACAUGAUGAUUUGUCUUACGAAAGAGGCUUCUGCGUUGCUGCUGUCAUGGCUAUAUUGUAAGCAGUAUGAUAUAAUUUACCAGGAAUGUUGGAAGACAGAACGAACAUCACCACGAGGCCACAUCACGACAGCCAUUGUGCCAGACUGCAUGUCUCUAGCAGCUUGUGUUAACUGUUUGGGUUAUAUUAUUAUCUACUGGCUUAUUUUAUAGAUUAUUUGUUAUUGGAACUUGAGUGCCAGACGUAUGACUAGCUAUUAGUGAGGUUUUUAAUGAAGCUGUGCACGUUAGAUUGUGAAUUGUUAUGAGAACUUUAUUUCAAAAGAUAUGGCUAUGACUGGCUGUUAGUUAGAAGUUUUGGAAUGAAGCUGUGCACAUUAGAUUGUGAAUUGUUAUGAGAACUUAAGUGCAAACGAUAUGCCUAUGACUAUCUGUUAGAAGUUUUUUGUAUGCAUUUUAUUAUGAAUUGUUAAGGGAACUCAAGUGCCAGACCUAUGAUUAGGUACUAGUGACAUUCUAAUGAAGCUGUUAGUUUGAAGUUUUGUAAUGAAAUUGUACACAGAUUGUGAAUUGUUAUGAGAUAUUUAGUGUGUGAACUAUGUCUAGCUAUUAGUGAGAAGAUUUCUAAUGAAACAAUACAUUAGAUUGUGAAAUGUUAUAUAUCAACUUUUCUGCCAGACCUAUGACUAGCUAUGAGUGAAAAGAAUUCUUAUGAAAUUUUACACAUUAUAUUGUGAAUUGUUAAAACAACUUUUGUGCCAGAUAUAUUAUUAGCUAUUAGUUAGAUUUAUAUGAAAAAGUACACAUUAUUUUUGUUAAUUGUUAACAGAACUUUGGUGCAAGACCAAUGCCUGUCUAUAAGUGUUAUGAUUUCUUAUGAAACUGUACACAUUAGUUCUUAAACUGUUAAGAUAAUUUUUGUGAGAGGAGUAUGUUUAUGAAUGUUUUUGAAUAUCUUAACUGGUAAAGUAUUUCUAAGCAUGAAGUGCAGAUGUUCAAGACGCACUUUCCAUGUGCGCUGAAUCACAGAGGACAGAGUUAUGGACAAAUAAUUACAACUUCUGUCACUUUCAUAUGAAUGCUCUAUUCUGAUUGGAUAAUUUGUUCAUGUGACUGGUUUUUCAUUUUCAUUUUUUGAUGAACCCACCUUUUAUGCAAAUUUAAACAUGAAUAAUCAUGGCGCUACUUUCUGGUCAUAAACAAGUUGCCAAAAUGACAUUAUGUUUUCCGCAAAACUUAAUGGUGUUUUUUAUUGGUCAAUAGUGAAGUGACAUUAUAUUUUGUGCGCGAUGAAACCGAAAUUGAAAAUAGUUUCAUACGCUAGAUUAAAAAGGACUUUUAUGACCCUUACCACGAUAGAAUUUCAGCUUUAAGAUAAAUUUGUGUUGUAAUUACGUUGGUGUUUAUGCAAAUUAGGCGUAAUUUUUCCAACAGUUCAUACACUGAUGAAAUGCGGAAAAAUGAUAUUCAAUUCUUAAGUAAAUUUUUACAUAAUUUAUGCCUUUUCCCCACCUCAUGGUAACUUAGUGGAGCAAGCUUCUGUUUUUUUAAGUGACAAAUUUUGUACCUCGUCAUAAGCUUGCAGUGAAGAUAUGCGAGACACAAUUUUUUUGUGAAUUUAUUGACAUAUCCCAAACCUAUGCUCUUAUUCCUAAGUGAGUCAGUUAAUUUCAUCCCAGUCAAAACUGUCUCUCGGGUAUUUUUAGUGAUUGGUGACAAAGCAAAGCCAAAGUAUCAAUAGAUAUGCAAAUGAGCCUAAUAUGUCACUUAAAUUCAGCUUUGAUUUGCCUUUGUAUUUUUAUUUGAUAUUGCAAUGUUUAAUGCCUUCUGAUGCUUGUUUUUGAUAUUUUUUUAGCUUACUUGAGCACAUUGACGUUGUUUCGCGCGAUAGAAUUACGUCAAUAUCUCCAAGGUCAAGGUCACACUUAGAGUUCAAAGGUCUAAAAUGGCCAUAAAUGAGCUUGUCCAGGCCAUAACUAUGUCAUUCAUUGUGAGAUUUUAAAAUCAUUUGGCACAUUUGUUCACCAUUAUUGGACGGUGUGUCGCAUGAAAGAAUUAAGUUACUAACUCCAAGGUGAGGGUCACACUUAGAGUUCAAAGGUCAAAAAUGGCAAUAAAUGAGCUUGUCCAGGCCAUAACUAUGUCUUUCAUUGUGAGAUUUUAAAUCAUUUGGCACAUUUGUUCACCAUUAUUGGAAGGUGUGUCAUGCGAAAGAAUUAUGUCGAUAUCUCCAAGGUCAAGGUCACACUUUGAGUUCAAAGGAAUAAAAAAAUGGCCAUAAAUGCGCGCUUGUCCGGGCCAUAACUAUGUCAUUCAUUGUGAGAUUUUAAAUAAAUUGGUACAUUUGUUCACUAUCAUUGGACGGUGUGUCAUGCCAAAGAAUUGUCGAUAUCUGCAACGUCAAGGUCACACUUUGAGUUCAAAGGUCAAAAAUAACCAUAAAUGAGCUUGUCCGGGCCAUAACUACAUGUAUGUCAUUUAUUGUGAGAUUGAAAAUUACUCUGUACAUUUGUUCACAAUCAUAAGACGGUGUGUCAUGCGAAAGAAUUACGUCAAUAUCUCCAAGGUCAAGGUCACACUUGGAGUUCAAAGACAAAAUUGGCCAUAAAUGAGCUUGUCCGGGCCAUACUUAUGUCAUUCAUUGUGAGAUUUGAAAAUUACUUGGUACACGUCUGUGACAAAGCUCUAGUUAUAAAUAUUUAAUUUUUUUAAACCAGGUUUUGUGACAAUUUUGUCCCUUGUUUAAUUUUAAUCAACUAAUAAAUGAAAUUUCAUUACUGUAUUUCAAUAUGACCUUUUUUCCUAGUAUUGUUGUUUUAUACCAUGUUCAUCUUAUGUCUAAUUUAAAAUGUGUUGUAA